ACCAUGGCCGGAUGCGUGUGCAGACGCGGGAUGCGCGCGUGGCGCAAGGUGUGUUUUCCGAACACUCAUUCAUGGGCAAGGAAGCACGCUCGGAAAUCGAGCCAUCCGAGACUUGAAAAUCCUUUCGAAGUACUAACAGUGUUUCGGAGCUACAGUUCACGAAAGGACAUUUGCGACAAGAUGUCACAACAUAGUGAAUCGGUGUGUCCUCCGUCAGCACUUGUGCGACAGAAUAUACGACAGGAAGCACUUGCCGUUGAACGAGGAAAUGCGGAUCGCCCACGUGCAAGAAAGCCUGCCGGAAGAGCAAGACGUGGCAAUGUUCGCUAAAAGAACUGGCUGCAAAACUCCAAGUCGGCGUCGGUGCAGAGGCUGCCCACUAUGGAGGUGCUCUCCUUGUACAGCUGCUCCGGCUCGGCGCCCUCCUGCUCCAACAUCACCGCACAGCUGCAUUCGUUGCCAUCCUGAGCCCUGCAGGCAAAGAGCAGUACUCCAGCAUUACUGCAUUGCGGCGUAGCCGUCCUGAAGUGUAUGGCACAAGCGCGAAACAACAUAUGGUUCUGUGAUAUGACCGUCGUAUCAAUCCUAAAGACGCUUGCGCGUUAGUAAACAGACGUUGUGCUUUCCGUACCAUUGAUUAUACACUGGCAUGCACAUGACGUGGAACACGGAUAGGACAGGCACGUGUAACUUGUACCGACGCAUAAUGUUCAUCCAUAAAAUGCGAACCCUUAGUUCUUAGCACCAAGUGAUCGUGUAGGCGGUCAGCCUUGGUUAAUCUGGGAUCCCGCGGAUUAUUAUAAAACACCGUACUUCACUACUUGCGAGAGCAUGAAGAACAGUUACAGCACGUGUAUAAAGGAAACAGUCCGCCAACUGGCUGUGAAAGCCGCUGCGUCGCCGCAGUUGUUAGUUAUACGCUCAUAUAAUAUACAAUCAUCAAAUGAUGUGUACGCGACACGCCGAACACCGAAUCAAGUUACACGGCCAAAUGAAAAGUGCCGGAUGAACGGAAGAAGUUUUAUUUUUCGAGGGAUUUACGGGCAAUAGGUGUUAUCGUUAUUUGCAGAAAGCGACACGACUGUAUUUAAGUUGCAGCGCCACUAGUACGCCAGCGUUGAUGAUUAUAAGAUGUAGCACUCGAAAGAGAAGGCUUUGCCCGACUGGACGGCCGCCAUGUUUGUCGAAUACUCAGCCUCAGCUCACGCAAUAAACUUGGCGCCUCAUUGCCGCUGAA
rnacentral:lncRNA from 1 species